rnacentral:rRNA from 1 species
ACGGGAGGCAGCAGUAGGGAAUAUUGCACAAUGGGGGGAACCCUGAUGCAGCAACGCCCCGUGUGGGAAGAAGCAUUCCGGUGUGUAAACCACUGUCGUGAGGGAACAAUGCUUGGUCUCGGCCAAGUUGAAUGUACCUCGAAAGGAAGCACCGGCAAACUUCGUGCCAGCAGCCGCGGUAAUACGAGGGGUGUAAGCGUUGUUCGGAAUCACUGGGCGUAAAGGGAGCGUAGGCGGAGACGCAAGCAGUCUGUACAAUACCGGGGCCCGACCCCGGACCUGCAUACUGGACUGUGUCUCUUGGAUAGUUCAGGGGCAGGCGGAAUUCCUGGUGUAGCGGUGGAAUGCGUAGAGAUCAGGAAGAACACCGAUGGCGAAGGCAGCCUGCUGGAGGAUCAUCGACGCUGAGGCUCGAAAGUGCGGGUAGCAAACAGGAUUAGAUACCCUGGUA